rnacentral:rRNA from 1 species
AAGGUGGGGAUGACGUCAAAUCAUCAUGCCCCUUAUGACCUGGGCUACACACGUGCUACAAUGGACAGAACAAAGGGCUGCGAGACCGCAAGGUUUAGCCAAUCCCAUAAAUCUGUUCUCAGUUCGGAUCGCAGUCUGCAACUCGACUGCGUGAAGCUGGAAUCGCUAGUAAUCGCGGAUCAGCAUGCCGCGGUGAAUACGUUCCCGGGCCUUGUACACACCGCCCGUCACACCACGAGAGUUUGUAACACCCGAAGUCGGUGAGGUAACCUUUAUGGAGCCAGCCGCCGAAGGUGGGACAGAUGAUUGGGGUGAAGUCGUAACAAGGUAGCCGUAUCGGAAGGUGCGGCUGGAUCACCUCCUUUCUAAGGA